rnacentral:rRNA from 1 species
UACGUAGGGGGCAAGCGUUGUCCGGAUUUAUUGGGCGUAAAGAGCGUGUAGGCGGCCAGACAGGUCCGUUGUGAAAACUCGAGGCUCAACCUCGAGAUGUCGAUGGAAACCGUCUGGCUAGAGUCCGGAAGAGGAGUGUGGAAUUCCUGGUGUAGCGGUGAAAUGCGCAGAUAUCAGGAAGAACACCUAUGGCGAAGGCAGCACUCUGGGACGGUACUGACGCUGAGGCACGAAGGUCAGGGGAGCAAACGGG